UUCAUCACUAUUGAAUUAAUAAAUCAAUAAAGAACUAAUUGUUGCUACUAAUUCCUCAAUGCACAUAGGUAUAGCUCAUCUGUUGAACCGUCUGCUGUUUCUACAGAAUUCUGUGAUUGUCCAGUUUUCUCACCACAGAAGAUGUAUACACUUGAGAUUUACAUUUACAUUUAGCUUUGUUGCAUUGCUUAGAAAACUGUGUUGAUAGCUGGUUGUUUUAUGCAGUACAAAUUUAGUAAUUAUGUUGUUGAUGCACUUAUUGUUAUAAGAAGGAUCAUUAGCAAAUGUGAGUUGAUGUUCUGCUUGUGCAAAGGAUGUUCGUUUUGCUUUGUGGUGAUCAGUUAAUGUACCGUCUUUGUUCUGUUUUUUUCAGGACGCUGUUCUCAGACCCAGAGAUGAACACCUUUAAACGAUCGUUCACAUGAGCAUAUCUAAGCUUUCCUGAGAGCCGAUCUUUUGUGAUUUUUCAUGACAGAAAAUUCACAAGAAGCUGCAUCAACGAAAGGAUCGUAUUUUAGUGCUUAAACAAACAGUCUUCUGUUAGACAAAAUUUUGUGCAAGUGAACUGCCCUGAAGGCCAAGAUUGGACCAAAAACACCAAGUAUUGAGUAUCAAAAAAUAUUCUGAACACGAAGGCCGGGUCCAGCAUUGAAGCCAGGAGACGCAGUUGUCGCAAGCAGCCUAGCAUGGUUCCUGUUUUGGUCUCGGACACUCGCGAACAAUGCAAGGUCAAGAAAGAAGUUCCCAUUCCAGACAAGCGCAAAUGCGCUGCAGGCGAGCAGUUAUAUUGCCCAUGCUGCCCAUACACCACCCAAAAUUCCUACAGAAUGAAAAAGCACGUCUUAACGCACACAAGCCAAGGGUCAUUCAAGUGUAGUGUCUGCUCGCAGCUGUUCAAAAAGCAAGCCCACUAUGAAGAGCACGUCAGCGCUAUUCACAUGAAGUUGAAACCAUUCAAAUGUAGCACCUGCUCAUAUGAAACUGGUCGCAAGAGGUCUCUCAUGACCCACAUGCGCAUUCACUCUUGACAGUUCGUGACUGGUACAGCGGCUACCACGCGAUUGUCUUUUUUUUCUCUGCAACUUGUUUGAUUGUCAGUGACACAUUUUUUGUUACUUUAUGAUAGUCUCCCAUUUUACACAUAUGCUCAAUCAGUGUUAGAAUGAUCAUGUCAGGAAAGAGCCACGAAGUGACCUUGUUGCCAAAUCACUCAUGCAGUAAUGUCGCAUCCAAAAAUAUGGGCAGCAAAGUGAGAGUGACAGGGGGUCAGGAACAAAUACACCAAGGGAGAAUUGUUUGAGAGGAGAAACAGAGCUAGCUCAAGUGUUGCGAACAAAGUCAUGGCGCCAUGGAACAGACUCUGUUGGAACAGAGUAAUGGUACCGACAUGCCUCCCAUUGUUUGAGCCGGUUCAUAGAGACGGCGAAGGGCACACGACAAGUUCUCUUCCGUGGCUCACCGGUUGAAUGCCAUUCAAGGAGAUUCAUUGGCAGGCAUCACCUGCUCUGAGAAAGUUACUGGUAGCUGUUUUUCAAAGGUUACGUGUGAAGUAAUUAGGGUGACAUUUAGUGAUGAUGCUAAAACGUCCGUCACUUCUGCCUUUUGGCAUUACCAAAUGAGAUCUUAGAAAAGCUGCAAUGUCUGGGACGGUACUGCAAUUUUUGUUCAUCACAAUAAUAGAAGGGCGUGUAAACCACGCAAACACUUCGCGUGUAUCGUCUGUCAAAAAUGAGUCUUGUUGAAAUCUUGGCUGCAGCGAUAUUACCUGUUCGCCUUCUUGCCGCGUGUUGCAGAUGUUUGCUGUUAAUGGGUGUUGUAGGAAGUCCUUGUGAUGCAGGUGUUCUUGUCUGCCUUCAACUGCUACAACAUUGUCACACACGUAGCGACAUUCUCUGUUGCUGUAGAAGAAGGAAUGAUAGCAGUGUGGUUAAUAAAAGCUUACAU
rnacentral:lncRNA from 1 species